AGAAAGACAAACCUUGAAUUUCUACGUUCAACGUUUGAUUUUUCAUCUUAUAUAAAUUUUUUUUACAAUUAAUAUUUUUAUCAUCUUAAACAUGAUUAAUAUUUUAUGCGUGACUUGUCCUUUUAAAUUUUUUAUAUUUUUUUAAAUAAUAUGGACGGUCAAACAUUAGAUAUGGAAACCUAGGUUUG
rnacentral:pre_miRNA from 1 species